rnacentral:sRNA from 1 species
AAGUUUUUUUAAACAAUCAAAUCUUGAAUGACGGGAGUUCACUGUAAAAGUCAGAGGAGUUUUGGAUUGGUGUUUAGACUCCAACAGGAGUCUUUGUAUACAAAAGUGACAGUCUCCAACGUUUCAGUUUGCCAGUAUCAGGGCUAGAAGAAAAGAUGGAAUAUACGGCAUCACCAAGAAACGUCUAUGUAGUAGGAGGAUUCCACGUCGAAGAUUCUGCAAACUAUGAAUUUUAUAAAUGUGAUCUCUUCAGAAGAAAUAAUUGCAUAUUUUAAGGCCAUUUGCAUUAUCUAUAUGUUCUUGUCAGUUAAAAUGUUGCCACAUUACCUAUUACUGUACGUAUUAAUCAAGCCAAAAAAAGGCUUUUAAAGACGUUAUUAAUGUUACUUAAAAGCUGUGCAACAAUUUUUUACUGAAGUUCUGUAAUUAAAACACAACCAAUGAUUAAUACUCAGUACAACUGACUGUGAAUACAUUGUACCUUUAUAAUAUAAACAAUAAAAUGCUCUUU